UGACACCGAAGAGACUUCUCAGUAUGCC
rnacentral:sRNA from 1 species